AAUAAUUUUGUUAGGUUAAGUUAAUUUUAAGGUAUUAAUUUUAUGCUUAUUAUUUUUCUUAAAGAUUUUUUAAGCAGGUUUUGGUAUUGUGUAAUUAAAGAAAUUUAGAUUCAGAUAAUUUUUUUUAGGUUUAUAAAAAGUUGUGCCAGCAUAUGCGGUUAUACUUCUAAUUCAAAUUAAUUUUAUUGGUUUUGAUUUAUUUUUUUUGUUGAAUUUAUUAUAAUUAUUAUUAGGUGAAAUUUUAAUUAUUAUUAUAUUUCAGGUUUAAAUAGAAUUUAUCAGAAAUUUAUUAGUUAGACUAGGAUUAGAUACCCUAUUAUUUUAAAUGUGUAAUUAUCUAUAUUAUUAAUGGUUAUGUUCCUUAAAAUAAAUAAAUUUGGCGGUAAUCUAUUCUUUUUAGAGGAACCUGUUCUGUAAUUGAUAAUCCACGUUUUAUUUUACUUUAAUUAUUUGUUUGUAUAUCUCUGUCAUUGAAUGUCUUAUUAGGGAAUUUUCUUAAUAUUAUUAUUUAAUUUAUGUCAAGUCAAGGUGCAACUAUAUUAAAGAUUGAAAUGGGUUACAUUUAAUUAAUAUUUAUAGGAUUAAAUAAAUUUUAAUUGUUUAUGAAUUUGGAUUUAAAUGUAAAUUUUAAUAUUUUUUAUUUUUGAUUAGGGCUCUGGAUUAUGUACAUAUCGCCCGUCACUCUCAUUUAUUAUAAUUGGGAUAAGUCGUAACAAAGUAAUUUUACUGGAAAGUGAUGUUGGAAGGU
rnacentral:ncRNA from 1 species